AUUGAACGCUGGCGGCAGGCCUAACACAUGCAAGUCGAACGAGUGGCGGACGGGUGAGUAAUGUCUGGGAAACUGCCUGCUGGAGGGGGAUAACUACUGGAAACGGUAGCUAAUACCGCAUACCAUCGGAUGUGCCCAGGUGGGAUUAGCUGGUAGGUGGGGUAAAGGCUCACCUAGGCGACGAUCCCUAGCUGGUCUUAGAGGAUGACCAGCCACACUGGUACUGUGACAAGGUCCAGAUGCCUACGGUAGGAAUAAGUGGGGAAUAAUGCACAAGGGGCGCAAGCAUGAUGCAGCCAUGCCGCGUGUAUGAAGAAGGCCUUCGGGUUUUAAAGUACUUUCAGCGGGGAGGCGUUACCCGCAGAUGAAGCACCGGCUAACUCCGUGCCAGCAGCCGCGGUAAUUC
rnacentral:rRNA from 1 species